GUAUUUAUUUUUUAAUAAUAUAAUUUUUCAAAGGCGUUGAUUAAAAAUUCUGGGAGGCUGGUCCGAAAACCAAUCCAUCCCAAAGUAAUAUUUUCAGUAAAUGCACACAAGGGUGGGUAUGGAUACUUGAAUCCAUAUUGGGUUCAAUUGUUAAUGAUCCUUCCGCAGGUUCACCUACGGAAA
rnacentral:misc_RNA from 1 species